rnacentral:rRNA from 1 species
UACGUAGGGACCGAGCGUUGUCCGGAUUCAUUGGGCGUAAAGAGCUCGUAGGCGGUCUGUCGCGUCGGAUGUGAAAACUCGGGGCUCAACCCCGAGCCUGCAUUCGAUACGGGCAGACUAGAGUUCGGUAGGGGGAGACUGGAAUUCCUGGUGUAGCGGUGAAAUGCGCAGAUAUCAGGAGGAACACCGGUGGCGAAGGCGGGGUCUCUGGGCCGAUACUGACGCUGAGGAGCGAAAGGCGUGGGGAGCGAACAGG